CAUGUAGCCAGCUGAACAAUGAGUGUACUCAUUUAAGUAACUUUAACUUGGUUAAUGAUUCAUUACUUGAGGUAAGCCUGUGAGUUUAACGUGUGCAUGUCUCAUUGCCAACAACACUGAAGCAGUCAUUGUGAAGUAGAACGUUCUGAAGGUGUGAAGAAUCCCCCAAAAUAAGACCUGUUUUUCGCAAUGACUUCAAAACUGCGGAUGCAAUGAACUAGUUUUUAUCAGAAAAAAAGCGUUAGAAAUAUAAUGAGUCCAGCCUACCUAUGGGACUCCCAAUCACAGCUGGUUGUGAUACCGCCUGGCAAGGCAAGCUUACGAAAUUGUGUGUCCUGUAUGUUCAGCCAUGCCGGGGUGACCCCAGCUACAAGAGCUCCAACUUCCUCCAGCACCUGCUCCACCGGCACAAGUUCUCCUACGACACGUUUGUGAUGAGGAUAAGGGUUGGGGUCUGGGCACUGUGUCUUCUAUUCAGCAGCCCCUUCACUUCCUGUAUACUGGGGAGGAGGGGAGCUUGGCCUCCAAUAAAUGUUGCAAUUUAAAACCACUGCAAUGCAAACCAACGAGUACAGCAUGGACAUUGUUGUUAUUCGGCAGAAAGUAUGAAGGUUCCCAAAAAUAAAGAUUUAAGGUAUUUCCUUUGACUGUUCAAAUGAAACAUUUUCAAACUCCAGGAAAAAGCCAUCACAUGACAGACGUUCUUGUAAAAGCACCACAGAUUAGUUCUGUUAAAGUUUAUUCUCAAGUGCAUAAUUUGAUGGCUUUGAAUAAGAGGGACUACAGUUGAAUUGCUUGACCCCAUUCUCAAUGUGAUAAUCUUACAGCUGGGUGACAGUCUAGACAUGACUAGUUAAACACAGAGAGUGAGGAUAUUCUCACAUCACUGUUUUUUAUUUUAACUAGGCAAGUCAGUUAAGGACAAAUUCUUAUUUACAAUGACAGCCUUACCCUUGCCAAACCCUAACCCAGACGAUGCUGGACCAAUUGUGAGCCACUCUAUGGGACUCCCAAUCACAGCCAGUUGUGAUACAGCCUGGAAUUGAACCAGGGUCUGUAGUGACACCUCUAGCACUGAUAUGCUGUGCCACUCGGGAGCCCAUUCUGUUUACAACGUGAAUCAAAACAAACUAUCAAA
rnacentral:lncRNA from 1 species